GCUGAACCCCUGUAUAACACACAGUUCCCUAUCUCCAAUUGUGGUUUUGCCUCAGUGGUAAGCACUUCUUGUCAAACAAGUCAAGGUACCCAAAUUUCAUUAAAGCACCUACCUACUGCCACCAUUGAUAAGACCCUGAUAUGUUCCAGAGCCUAAGAAACAGUUUUUGGAGGGCAGAAGACUUGCAUGAAAAAAGCACUUUCUACUUAGGCAAAGUCAUCAUUGGAGGCAACCCAUUAUUGUUGCUUUAUUUUAAUAAUCUAGGUUUAAUUAUUUAGAUUUCAGUGUUAAAAAUGUUCAUACUUGAACUUUAAAACAUACCCUGAAGAAUUUGCAUAAAAUGUCCAAGUUUAUACUAGUUGCAAGAUUUAGAAUUCUGAAGCACACUAAAAAGAGAGAGGUGGGUUUUGUUUCAUUUUUAAGAGAAUUGUUUUGUUUGGAAGGAAAAUGCCGAGAGCCAUUUAGCCCUAUCUGUCAUCUUAAUAUUUCAUAAGAUAAAAAAUUAUACCAAGGCAGAACCAUUUCACUUUCAUUAAAAAUCAGUGCCUCAACAAGAUUAUAGCUAGAAGAGUCUAAGGAAGCAAUAUUUACAUUAAUGUCAAGAAAGUCAACAUUUAUUAUUGUUACUUUGAAAAGAAGCUUUCUUUUGCCAAAUGGCUUCUUUUUCUCAUGUCUAUUUAUUUUCCAUACAAAUAGCAUAUAUUUAAAAAUCCCCAUUUGUAAUAUGAGAGUUGAAUGAACAUGCUUGGUUAGAGAUUAUUAUGGGCUUGUUGCUCAUUCUUCCUCUGGUGGUUCUCUCUCAUUCCAUUACCUAAAAUCUUCCUUUAAACCCUCAUAUUAAAUGUUUGAGCCAACAUGUCUGCCUUCAAUGUCACAUGAUGCCCUUGCAGUGCUGGAAAACAUGGUGGUUGUUUUGGUACAUUGGCUGGUAGGGGGGAUACAUCCUCACAAAUUAAUUUGUGUAGGAAAUGUAAUUAUUUUUAUUGUUUACUUCUAAUUACCGCCCCCCUUUCAUUUUUAUCAUUUUGCAAAGGUCUCUUUUACUCCUCUCCCAUCUUUGUUUUAUUUUCGUUUUAACUCAUGUAACCCUUCUUAUCUCUUGACAGGAAACAAUCUUCAAUCUAUUUUUCCCUCUCUCUUGCUGAGCAAGGACAGGUGAAGGAUAUUUUCCUACUGCAGCUGGGGUAGAAGAUAGAUCUGAGGAUUAAACAUUUAUUUCUGAUACCUGGAAAAAAAGUGGUGAUGAUUCUCAGAGGAUUCUCAUAGAGUUACAUCUCAUGGGCGAAGCUGUCAUCUGAAUCUAAAUUCUGUCAACCAAAUGUUUAGCACAGUCCUCUGCAUGCUUAUACAUGUAAUGUGCACACAGCCAAGAACAAAGCUUAUUUUGAUCUUCUCUCAUCUAUUUCAUUGUGCUGAUUCCUACACACAGAGACUAAACAUCACAGUAUUUGGUCUCUUGCACUGUGUUCUUCUUAAAUUGACAACUAGACGGAUUUCAUGGUUCUGACAGCAGUAGAAUUGAGUUUUACAUUUUUUUUCCAGAUUCAUUGGCAGCUGCUGGCCAACAGGAAAUGUGUGGGCUGAUGAAAUACCAGCAGUGCUGAAGGCAGGGCAUGCACUUCCUCCCUCUGACAACUUGUAUGCUGUCUUAUUACUUAUACCUUCAGUUUCAAAUUCUGCUGGAUAGGAGUACAUUGUUUAGCUGUACAGUAGCUACAACAGAUUAAGUAUUGUUCUGAAUACCCACACUGGGUCCCUUUCAAGCCUGUGGUUUUGUAUCUGUAAAAUGGGAUUCUUACUGCUUUAGUGGAAGACGCUGCUUAAGUGGUCAAAUCAGGGGCCUUAAGCCAAGUCAUAAAAUCAUAGUUAGAGGUGACCAUGAGGAUCAUCUAGUCCAACCCUCUGCAAUGCAGGAAUCUUUCACCCAAUGUCGGCCUGUUAAGCAUUUAUUGGUGUGACAAUAAAGGUAAAGGACCCCUGGACGGUUAAGUCCAGUCAAAGGUGACUGGGGCGAAGCGCUCAUUUCGCUUUCAGGCUAAGGAAGCCAGUGUUUGUUCACAGACAGCUUUUCUGGGUCAUGUGGCCAGUACGACUAAACUGCUUCUGGCACAACGGGACACAGUGACGGAAACCAGAGCACACAGAAGCUGUUUACCUUCCCGCCACAGUGGUACCUAUUUACUUCCACUGGUGUACUUUUGAACUGCUAGGUUGGCAGGAGCUGGGACAGAGCAACAGGAGCUCACCCCUGAUCAGCAAGCCCAAGAGGCUCAAUGGUUUAGACACAUCGCCACUCAUGUCCCUAAUUAGUGUGACUAAUUAGCUGGUGAAGGACAGGUGUGUUGCCUAGAAACAACUAGCUAGUGAUGCUUUCAGCCCCCUCACCUGGCUGGAGGCAAUGUCAUUGUAAGUGCAAGAGAAUAAUAGUGUGGGGGCCAGUCUUAGCGUGGAAGACACAGAGGCUUGCUCUCUGUGCUGAGUCUAAAGUGGGAAGGGGGGUACAAGUCUGUUAAUGCUGUCCAUCUUUCCAGUGACUUUCUUUCAAAGGAAACCAAACCAGAGCUAUGUGCUAAAAUCUCUCACCACUUGGGAUGCAUGUAGUCAUAUGAAGUUUCAGCUAACUGGAGAACUUUGGAGAUAUGUUUUAAUAUGUUAUAGUUACCUACAUGGCACCGUAGAGUUUACUCUUUACAGACUAACAAGUAAAAAGGUAGGCCUUUGUCCCCCAUCCCCCCCCCAAGUACCUUACAGAGUACAAAAACCACUUCUGGGUUGUGUGGGUGCAGUUGGAUCUUCCUGCCCAAAGUGGUUGCAUUGUGUUUAUGUAUUCAAAUGCUAAGAUAAUCAAUAUUGUACAGUAAAAGCCUGAAUAUUUUAUCAUGUGCUUAGUGAGAAGGGUGGUGCUUGUGAGAUGUGUAAGGAACAAUAAAUCUGCAGCUGCAAUGUAGUUUUGCUUGAGGAUUGGGAAUAAUAAACACUUCCAAAUUAAUCUCUCUAAAGAAAGAGAAUAAAGAGCUCGUUUUAAAAGUACUGUUGCUCAGUAUGAAUGGGCAGGUUCCAGGAUCCAUCCAUGAGCUACAGGCGGUUUGUGAAGGAUCAUCAAGCUGCUGGCAAUGUUUAUCAGUAGGCACACUGAGCAUGUGCAGCCCACAUUGUCUUCUCAGGCACUGGAUAAAUCUUAAGAACAUCUGCAAAUAAACUUAUGGUGACAUUUGAGAAUAAAUGCACGCCAACUUUCUGGUAAGAUUUCAGAUGUACUCAAAUGUAGGUAGCUGUAGUUGCAGCAUUUGAUUGUCGCAUGACAAAAGAACAAGUAUUGCUGGUUCAACUUCCAUGCACCUCCUGACAUUUCCCCUGUUGGUUUGAGGAUGCGAACAUGAAUUUGUAAGGUCAGGAGGAUAUGAACACACCAACCAAUAAUAAAACCUUUUUGUUAGGUCUUCAUUAAAAUGAAUGAUCUUACUGUGAAACAAUGAUACUAUGUUGAUGAGCUUCCGCUACCUGUCUAGGAUCACAUAUCCCAAUCUCUUUAAUUGAGCACUUAACCGCCUUAUUACCUUUUUGAUUUUAAUCACUUGAGAAGGAUAGCAGCUAUCUCCUUUUUAAAGAUAAUUAAGUACAUCCUAAUCUAACGAUAGCUCCCUUGUAAUGUAGCUGCAAAACUGCAUCUGUAAUCCUGCUGUGGCAGAAGUCCAACAGGUAGGGCUUUUCCUAAAUGUGUGGAAAGGAGAUAAACCUAGUGUGUUGUUGUGAGAAAUAAAUAAGUAAAAUCAUUUUUGGCUCUGGGGAACUUAAAAGUACUGUUAACACACACUCUACUUCUCCAAGCAGUGACACUCCAGGGGGUACAGUGAUUAGCAGAUGUUUGGUGUACCGUUUAGAAGGAGGCCACCAGAGGUUUAUUGAUGUUUUGUAAUAUUGGUGCUUAUUUACAAAUCUGCAGGUGGGGAUGCAGCUUAAGCACUCCCAACAGAAAGGCAAAGUCCACAACAGAUCUCUAGUGGGACAGCUAGCACCCUGAAAUGUUUCCAGAACCCCCAAACUCAGCUCUCUUCACUGUUUCUAGCCCUAUUAAGAUGUCCUCUUCAGGAAUGCAUGAAGUAACCUCUCUCCCUAGUCUUUGUGCAAUGAGCACAAGUAUCUGAACUGAUGGAGCCUUAGCGUGACUGCAGUCUUAUCCUUUUGCACAGGCAAUUAGUCCCCUCCCCUUGGUUAGUGGUGGUGUCCUUUUGUCAAAAUGGCUAUCUCAGAACAAUCUCAAAAAGAUGCCAUAUCACAGCCUAACAUUCUCCGUAUACAGUUGGACCCAGCUCCCAUUCUCAUGGACCAUUGGGGCUGAUGGGAGUUAUAGUUCCAAACAUGUAUACAUGAAGGAGUGUCUCCACCACCAUCGUUCAGCCUGGACACUGAGAUCCAGUGCAGAGGGCCUUCUGGCGGUUCUCUCAUUGCGAGAAGUGAGGUUACAGGGAACCAGGCAGAGGGCCUUCUCAGUAGUGGCGCCCACCCUGUGGAAUGCCCUCCUUUCGGAUGUAAAGGAAAUAAGUAGCUAUCUUAUCUUUAAAAGACAUCUGAAGGCAGCCCUGUUUAGGGAAGUUUUUAAAUAUUUAAUGCUGUAUUGUUUUUAACAUUUGAUUGGGAGCCGCCCAGAGUGGCUGGGGAAACUCAGCCAGAUGGGCGGGAUAGAAAUAAUAAAUUGUUAUUGUUAUUGUGUGGAGUGCGCCAGUUUGGUGAACACUGCUGUAUGAAGAAGCAAACUGCUAACUAUUUAGCUCCCAUGGCAACCUUGGUUUCCCUAACAAAAGACAUUUGCUAGGUUAACCUGUCCAGCAGGUCUGCCCAUUAUCCCUUUCCUGUCCCUCCCCCCUCCAUCUUACAACUGUGCACACCCACAAAAUAGGCUGCCUGCUGUGUCCUGCCGCAUGAGUCACUCCUUUCAGCUAGUCUCACUCCAAUAAAGAGGCACACCCGGAACAGUGACUCAACGUCCACACUCAAGGGGUUGUUGUUGCUGGGCUUACAACAUGACAGUCUAGAAGUGAAUGAAAUGCACCUCUAAUUUUAAUUCAAGGUGAGGAGAGAAUAUGCCUGCAGCUAUCAGAGGUUUGGGAAUGCUAUUCUAUGAGGUUGGGGACUUUGGUUGGUUGGGUUCCUUCUGAGUUCAGUCCAGGUGAUGGGAAUGAAUUGGCCUUGGUUGUCCUGACCUUUAGCAGGAGAAAGCAGAGGAGUGCAACCCUCCUAUUCUUAACUGAUCUCUCCAUUAUACCAUUGACCAUGGUAUCCAUCUGCCACGUCUUAGCAGGCUGGGAAACGGAGGCACUGUUUUACUGUGGUUCUGAUCCUAUCUCCAUGGUCAGUUUCAGAAAAUAGCAUUGGAUGGUGGUCAUUUGGCUCCCUGGCCGUUGUGCUGUGAGGUGCCACAGGAUAUCAUCCCGUCCGCAGUGCUGUGUAACAUCUACAUGACAUGGUUGGGAGCAGCUAACAGGAAAUUUGGGGCGAGGUGUCAUCAGUAUGCUGAUGAUACCCAGCUCUAUUUCUCUGUGAAAUCUGACACAAGGGAGGCCAUGCAAGCCUUGGACCAGUGCCUGGACUUGGUGGUAGACUGGAGAAAGGCCAACAAACUGACUCUGAAUCCUGGCAAGACGGAGGCACUGCAAGAGGGUUGUUUCCAAAUCUACAUACUUGGCAAAUUGCCUCCUUUUGGUAGGGUGAAAGAAAGGUAUCUAGUCUGGGGGUUGCUCCUGGAUAUAGCUUUGUCACCUGAAGCCCUGGUGGCCCCAGUAGCUAGGAGUGCUUGUUACAAUCUUUUUAUUAACUAGGGCAUUCCAUGAUUAAACUUGAUCCUGCUGCUGUUUUAUUUUCACAGUGGCUGUGGGUUUGUUUGGUUUUUUUUAGUAUUUGUUCUUAAGCUAUAAAAAAGGUAAAGGACCCCUGGAC